CUCAGAGAUGACGCCUCUAGUGGCAUUGUAUUCUGAAGCCUUGCUGUCGGGACCUGGUGCUUAAGUCUUCUGGAAAGGAGCGCCAUGGAGGGUGAUAGCCCCGUGAAGCACUAACCCCAUUGUAGGAUCUUGGCAUGGAAGUCGAGUUGUUUGGGAAUGCAGCUCAAAUGGGUGGUAUGCUCCAUCUAAAGCUAAAUAUCUGCGAGAGACCGAUAGCGAACAAGUACUGUGAAGGAAAGAUGAAAAGAACUUUGAAAAGAGAGUGAAAUAGUACGUGAAAUUGUUGAAAUGGAAGGAUAGGCCGCUAACCACGCAGAGUCGUGUUUAGGGGGAGGACAAAAGCUGUAUACUUCAUCAUUCUUCGGAGUGAUGUCGUUGCGGUGCAUACUCCCACCUGGGCGCGAGAUCUAACCACUCUGCUAAAUGGUGGUCUAUCAC
rnacentral:rRNA from 1 species